rnacentral:hammerhead_ribozyme from 1 species
AUCCAGCUGACGAGUCCCAAAUAGGACGAAACGUGCGUCAAAUUGGAU